UAUUCUGCCCCACGGGGAAGGAUGAGAAGCUUCGACUAAGGUUCGACUCGAGCGAAGCGAGAGAACGUUGCCGCAGGCAACGGCCCGAAGGGCGAGGCGCUUUAGCGCCGAGUAAUCCUUCCCCNCACCA
rnacentral:sRNA from 1 species